CAUGCAGUCGAGGGGCAGCAUCAUCAAAGCUUGCUUUGAUGGAUGGCGACCGGCGCACGGGUGAGUAACACGUAUCCAACCUGCCGACAACACUGGGAUAGCCUUUCGAAAGAAAGAUUAAUACCGGAUGGUAUAGUUUUCCCGCAUGGGAUGAUUAUUAAAGAAUUUCGGUUGUCGAUGGGGAUGCGUUCCAUUAGGCAGUUGGCGGGGUAACGGCCCACCAAACCUACGAUGGAUAGGGGUUCUGAGAGGAAGGUCCCCCACAUUGGAACUGAGACACGGUCCAAACUCCUACGGGAGGCAGCAGUGAGGAAUAUUGGUCAAUGGACGAGAGUCUGAACCAGCCAAGUAGCGUGAAGGAUGACUGCCCUAUGGGUUGUAAACUUCUUUUAUACGGGAAUAAAGUGAGCCACGUGUGGCUUUUUGUAUGUACCGUAUGAAUAAGGAUCGGCUAACUCCGUGCCAGCAGCCGCGGUAAUACGGAGGAUCCGAGCGUUAUCCGGAUUUAUUGGGUUUAAAGGGAGCGUAGGCGGGUUGUUAAGUCAGUUGUGAAAGUUUGCGGCUCAACCGUAAAAUUGCAGUUGAUACUGGCGACCUUGAGUGCAACAGAGGUAGGCGGAAUUCGUGGUGUAGCGGUGAAUGCUUAGAUAUCACGAAGAACUCCGAUUGCGAAGGCAGCUUACUGGAUUGUAACUGACGCUGAUGCUCGAA
rnacentral:rRNA from 1 species